rnacentral:rRNA from 1 species
UACGGGGGGGGCAAGCGUUGUUCGGAAUUACUGGGCGUAAAGGGCUCGUAGGCGGCCAACUAAGUCACACGUGAAAUCCCCAGGCUCAACCUGGGAACUGCGUGUGAUACUGGAUGGCUUGAAUUCGGGAGAGGGAUGCAGAAUUCCAGGUGUAGCGGUGAAAUGCGUAGAUAUCUGGAGGAACACCGGUGGCGAAGGCGACAUCCUGGACCGGUAUUGACGCUGAGGCGCGAAAGCCAGGGGAGCAAACGGG